AUAUCAAUAAGCGGAGGAAAAGAAACCAACAGGGAUUGCCUCAGUAACGGCGAGUGAAGCGGCAAAAGCUCAAAUUUGAAAUCUGGUCGUAGACCCGAGUUGUAAUUUGUAGAGGAAUGUUCGGCGACGUCUAGGUCUGAGUCUUCUGGAAGGAAGCGCCACUGAGGAUGAGAGCCCCGUAGGACUGAUGACUGAACCAUGUGUACAUCCUUCGACGAGUCGAGUUGUUUGGGAAUGCAGCUCAAAACGGGUGGUAAAUUCCAUCUAAAGCUAAAUAUUGGCCAGAGACCGAUAGCGCACAAGUAGAGUGAUCGAAAGAUGAAAAGCACUUUGGAAAGAGAGUGAAACAGUAC
rnacentral:rRNA from 1 species